GGAUAACGAUUGGAAACGAUCGCUAAUACCGCAUGACAUAGCGGAAUCGCAUGGUUCUGUUAUCAAAGAUUUUAUCGCUGAUAGAUGGGCUCGCGUCCGAUUAGAUAGUUGGUGGGGUAACGGCCUACCAAGUCGACGAUCGGUAGCCGGACUGAGAGGUCGAACGGCCACAUUGGGACUGAGACACGGCCCAGACUCCUACGGGAGGCAGCAGUGGGGGAUAUUGCACAAUGGGGGAAACCCUGAUGCAGCGACGCCGCGUGAGGGAAGACGGUCCUCUGGAUUGUAAACCUCUGUCUUCGGGGACGAAACGAGACGGUACCCGAGGAGGAAGCCACGGCUAACUACGUGCCAGCAGCCGCGGUAAUACGUAGGUGGCAAGCGUUGUCCGGAAUUACUGGGUGUAAAGGGAGCGUAGGCGGGCAGGCAAGUCAGGCGUGAAAUAUAUCGGCUCAACCGGUAACGGCGCUUGAAACUGCAGGUCUUGAGUGAAGUAGAGGUUGGCGGAAUUCCUAGUGUAGCGGUGAAAUGCGUAGAUAUUAGGAGGAACACCAGUGGCGAAGGCGGCCAACUGGGCUUUUACUGACGCUGAGGCUCGAAAGUGUGGGGAGCAAACAGGAUUAGAUACCCUGGUAGUCCACACCGUAAACGAUGAUUACUAGGUGUGGGGGGACUGACCCCUUCCGUGCCGGAG
rnacentral:rRNA from 1 species